AUUGAACGCUGGCGGCAUGCCUUACACAUGCAAGUCGAACGGUAACGGGCCUUCGGGUGCCGACGAGUGGCGAACGGGUGAGUAAUGCAUCGGAACGUACCUUUCAGUGGGGGAUAACGUAGCGAAAGUUACGCUAAUACCGCAUAUUCUGUGCGCAGGAAAGCAGGGGAUCGCAAGACCUUGCGCUGAUUGAGCGGCCGAUGUCAGAUUAGCUAGUUGGUGAGGUAAAGGCUCACCAAGGCGACGAUCUGUAGCGGGUCUGAGAGGAUGAUCCGCCACACUGGAACUGAGACACGGUCCAGACUCCUACGGGAGGCAGCAGUGGGGAAUUUUGGACAAUGGGGGCAACCCUGAUCCAGCCAUGCCGCGUGAGUGAAGAAGGCCUUCGGGUUGUAAAGCUCUUUCGGCCGGGAAGAAAUCGUAUCAGCUAAUACCUGGUGCGGAUGACGGUACCGGCAUAAGAAGCACCAGCUAACUACGUGCCAGCCGCCGCAGUAAAAC
rnacentral:rRNA from 1 species